AACAAAAAGACAGCAGUAACCUCUGCAGACUUAAAUGUUCCUGUCUGACAGCUUUGAAGAGAGCAGUGGUUCUCCCAGCACGCAGCUGGAGAUCUGAGAACGGGCAGACUGCCUCCUCAGGUGGGUCCCUGACCCCCUGACCCCCGAGCAGCCUAACUGGGAGGCACCCCCAAGCAGGGGCACACUGACACCUCACACGGCAGGGUACUCCAACAGACCUGCAGCUGAGGGUCCUGUCUGUUAGAAGGAAAACUAACAAACAGAAAGGACAUCCACACCAAAAACCCAUCUGUACAUCACCAUCAUCAAAGACCAAAAGUAGAUAAAACCACAAAGAUGGGGAAAAAACAGAACAGAAAAACUGGAAACUCUAAAAAGCAGAGCGUCUCUCCUCCUCCAAAGGAACGCAGUUCCUCACCAGCAACGAACAAAGCUGGACGGAGAAUGACUUUAACGAGCUGAGAGAAGAAGGCUUCAGACGCUCAAAUUACUCUGAGCUACGGGAGGACAUUCAAACCAAAGGCAAAGAAGUUGAAAACUUUGAAAAAAUUUAGAAGAAUAUAUAACUAGAAUAACCAAUACAGAGAAGUGCCUAAAGGAGCUGAUGGAGCUGAA
rnacentral:lncRNA from 10 species